rnacentral:rRNA from 1 species
GAUGAACGCUAGCGGCAGGCUUAAUACAUGCAAGUCGUGGGGCAGCAGGACUGUAGCAAUCCAGUUGCUGGCGACCGGCAAACGGGUGCGGCACACGUACGCAACUUACCCUGAACUGGGGGAUAGCCCGGGGAAACCCGGAUUAAUACCCCGUAAUAUAAUGGAGUGGCAUCACUUUAUUAUUAAAGCUCCGGCGGUUCGGGAUGGGCGUGGGGCUGAUUAGGUAGUUGGUUGUGGUAACGGCUCACCAAGCCUGCGAUCAGUAACUGGUGUGAGAGCACGACCGGUCACACGGGCACUGGGACACGGGCCCGACGCCUACGGGAGGCAGCAGUAAGGAAUAGUGGGCAAUGGAGGCAACUCUGACCCAGCCAUGCCGCGUGGAGGAUGAAGGCCCUCUGGGUUGUAAACUUCUUUUAUAGGGGACGAAACCUGUGUAUUCUUACGCAGUUGACGGUACCCGAGGAAUAAGCACCGGCUAACUCCGUG